rnacentral:misc_RNA from 1 species
AAUUAAUUAAAAUGAAGCAAUAAAAAUUAGAACAUGUGCAGAAUUGUCAUCACCUUCAAAUUUACUACAUAUACAUGUAAAUUAUGAAGACAUAAGGAUAACUCAAGGCAUUUAAAUAUAAAACAAUUAUAGCAUGGCAUGAAUCUUGAAUAAAAGGUAUUAAGAACCCUCACCUUUAUUAAAUCUUAAAAAAAAAAUUCUUGAACUAAUGAAAGAAAGAAAAGAAAAUAGAGAGAAGGAAGAGAGAAAUUUAGAAAGAGCUGUAAGGACUGAUCUCUGAGUCCUUUUUUUUAGUGGUGUAUUUACAAGGCUUGGGUGUAGAAUUGUGGUACAAUUGAAAAACUUAUUGAUAGAGUUUAAGAAGAGAUAAAACAAGAGAUAAAAUAAAAAAUUUUAGUAAAAAAAAAACUAAUUGGUGGGAGAGAGAAAGAAAGAGAGAUCCUAUUAGUGAGAGAGAGGGAGAGAGAGUUUGUGUAAGAAAGGGAAAGUGAGGAAUGAACAGGUUGUAUGGGAGAGGGAUAGUAAGGAAGAAACAGGUUGUAUGAGAGAGGGAUAGUAAGGAAAAGAGAUAAAGAUAGACAUAAAAUUUUCUUUCCUAAAAAAUAUUUAGGUGAGUUUUUAUUUAAUUAACAUCCCUAUUCAAACUUUAUUAGGCCCACAUAAUCUAGAUAGGUUUAGUAAUAAAUAAAUUUUAUUUUAUUAUUUUUUGUUCUUCAAAAAUUUCUUCAGAAAUCAUGCCAUAUAUAUAAUUAUUUUAUUUUUAAUAUCCUUAAAUAUAUCCCAUAGUUAUAAUUUUUUCAUCAUCGGAUUCCUUACAAUCUCAAUGCACAUACUCACAAGGUCAUAAAAAUAGGGAUCUACACUAGGGGAGAGGGAGAAAAUCUCCAACUAGUGAUAGGGAUAGCUAGCAUGUGAAAUCGAUAGUUUCGGUUCAAAGUUUAGGAAAAUUGGAAUUGCAAGAUUCUCUCCAUUUUGGUUUAAUCAUAUUUAAUGGUUCACAAUUUUUUAAAAUUCGUUAAUUUUCUAAAUAAAAAAAAUUCAAACUUGAACCAAAUUGAUAAGUUUUAAUUGAAUUUCAAUCUAAUUUAAAAUUGAUUUUGAUCAAACUUUAUUCUAGUUUUAAUUUCGAGAUAGAUCAAUUCGGUUAUGGCUUUGACUAAUUAGCGGUCUAAGAAGCUUUAACAUCUUUAUUCUUUGAUAUAGGAGUUUGGAGCAAGAAAGCAAGAGUUUUCCAUCACUAGACAAAACUUAGAUUUAAGAUUUCAACCAAGUUUAAGUUCCUGGCAACAACCUCUAUAAAUAAACAAAUAAAGCUCUAGAGUACAACAUAAUUGUGAUUGUGAGUUUCAUAGAGCAUGAAAAUUCAUGUGCAUAUAAAAUUAAUAACAUGAAAGCUACUUGCAAGAAUGUAGAUGGUGGUAGUAACAAUAAUUAGUAGUAACUUAAUAUCCUCACUAAUGCUAAGUGGAGUGAAAUUGUUAGAUACAACAAAAUAUUUUUUUUUUCACAAGUAUAUUGAUGUUAUGAUUAUAAUGAAGUAUACUUAUUGAAAAAUAUUUUUUACUUAUUUCACUAUGAAAUUGAUGCUUUG